rnacentral:rRNA from 1 species
UGGGGAAUCUUGGACAAUGGGGGCAACCCUGAUCCAGCGACGCCGCGUGGGUGACGAAGGCCUUCGGGUUGUAAAGCCCUUUUUCCGGGGACGAUGAUGACGGUACCCGGGGAAUAAGCACCGGCUAACUCCGUGCCAGCAGCCGCGGUAAGACGGAGGGUGCUAGCGUUGUUCGGAAUUACUGGGCGUAAAGGGCGCGUAGGCGGCCCUGUCAGUCGGGUGUGAAAGCCCGGGGCUCAACCCCGGAACGGCACCCGAGACGGCAGGGCUGGAGACCGGGAGAGGAGGGUGGAAUAGCCAGUGUAGAGGUGAAAUUCGUAGAUAUUGGCUGGAACACCGGUGGCGAAAGCGGCUCUCUGGCCCGGUUCUGACGCUGAGGCGCGAAAGCGUGGGGAGCAAACAG